GUAGGGUGCGAGCGUUAAUCGGAAUUACUGGGCGUAAAGCGUGCGCAGGCGGUUGUGUAAGACAGGUGUGAAAUCCCCGGGCUUAACCUGGGAACUGCGCUUGUGACUGCACGACUAGAGUAUGGCAGAGGGGGGUGGAAUUCCACGUGUAGCAGUGAAAUGCGUAGAGAUGUGGAGGAACACCGAUGGCGAAGGCAGCCCCCUGGGCCAAUACUGACGCUCAUGCACGAGAGCGUGGGGAGCAAACAGGAUUAGAUACCCUGGUAGUCCACGCCCCUAAACGAUGUCGACUAGGUGUUCGGUGAGGAGACUCAUUGAGUACCGCAGCUAACGCGUGAAGUCGACCGCCUGGGGAGUACGGUCGCAAGAUUA
rnacentral:rRNA from 1 species